CCUACGGGUGGCAGCAGUGGGGAAUAUUGGACAAUGGGGGGAACCCUGAUCCAGCCAUGCCGCGUGUGUGAAGAAGGCCCUCGGGUUGUAAAGCACUUUCAGUGAGGAAGAACGCCUGGUGGUUAAUACCCAUCAGGAAAGACAUCACUCACAGAAGAAGCACCGGCUAACUCCGUGCCAGCAGCCGCGGUAAUACGGAGGGUGCGAGCGUUAAUCGGAAUUACUGGGCGUAAAGCGCGCAUAGGUGGCUUGAUAAGCCGGUUGUGAAAGCCCCGGGCUCAACCUGGGAACGGCAUCCGGAACUGUCAAGCUAGAGUGCAGGAGAGGAAGGUAGAAUUCCCGGUGUAGCGGUGAAAUGCGUAGAGAUCGGGAGGAAUACCAGUGGCGAAGGCGGCCUUCUGGACUGACACUGACACUGAGGUGCGAAAGCGUGGGUAGCAAACAGGAUUAGAUACCCUUGUAGUC
rnacentral:rRNA from 1 species